CUGGCCUUAUCUUAUAGUUAGGAUAUUCUUAUGCCUAUCCCACGCAUGCUUAAACUCCCUCACUGUGUUAACCUCUACCACUUCAGCUGGAAGGCUAUUCCAUGCAUCCACUACCCUCUCAGUAAAGUAAUACUUCCUGAUAUUUUUAAACCUUUGCCCCUCUAAUUUAAGACUAUGUCCUCUUGUUGUGGUAGUUUUUCU